UUCUCCAAGAUCCCUGAAAUACAAAAUUUGGGCACCCAGUUCGCUUCAGAUUUCAUAUAAUAGGCCAGUUUGAAUCAAAGUCCCAAAUUAUGUGAUAAUCUGUGCGUGUCCAGAGAGUAUAUAACGUUUAACCUGUCAUCUGCUGACGUAAACUUAUCGGUUUUUCCAUUAAAUCUUAGGCUCACCGCUAUUGGCUGAGCGCAUGGCUCCCUGCUCUGUGAUUGGUUUCUUAUUCAGCUGCUCCUUUCUGAUUGGCUGAGGACAUGGAGGGGAAAACGUCCGACAGAGUGGAAUCGAAAAACGCAGCAGUCUGAGAGUUUUAAAUGUUUACAACAAUGAAAAUGACGAGAAAACAAGCUACUUUUUAAAUAAACCAUCUGCGCCUGAAGUCACAGAAGCAGCUUAGAAGAACUUGCCAUUUUGACAGCCGAAACCAUCGACAAUGAGAUUGAUAUCAUCGUUACCCUGAGAAAGCUCCAGGCGGAGGGAGGCAUGCAGGCGCGGUGUGACGGCUCAGCUGGGCGCCUGACGUGACUCACACCGCUGAGGCUGGAUGCAGGAGCCUCAGGCAGAACCGGGGGGCCGUGCAGCAGUUCUCUCCUGCCGUGACUCGCCCUGUGCACAGAGCGAGUCUCUACGAGUUUCUGUCUCCAUGCAGCAGGCGCAGAGGCUGACGUGCCGUUUAUCACCGUCACGCUGAUGGUGUGUGGAUGUUGAUGAGCCACCUGUCCUCCCUGUGGGCCACUCAGGAAAGGUGUGAGUUUAAACAUCAGCUAAGUGAUAAUGUUUGACAGCGCUAAUAAGCCAGGCCUCCCUGUGUCAGACUGCCAUGACCAGCACCUCUUCUCUUAGCUUUCUCUCUCAUGUCCUUGCAGUGAAACCAGCAGUGGCCUCAUUAGAGAAGCUUAUUGCCUUAAUUCAGCCCAACACAACAACUCAAGAUGGAGCUGUUACAAAAUAACUGCACUGUAAAACAUUUACAGCUGGUUUAACCUGACAAUCAAAGUCCACCUGCU